rnacentral:lncRNA from 1 species
GGCGGGGCACGUGGUCGUUGUCGCGUCGCGUCUUCCGUGCCUCGCCCUCGCUGGCCUUCUGCGUCUGCUGGCGCCUGCAGGGCGUCGUCUCCGACGUGACGGCGGCCGCACGGCGUUUCCCUUGGGCUCUGCCCUGCGCAGCCCUGGUCCGAGCUGGCCAGUAAGGCCCCGCGCCCUCCCCGCCUCGCCCCGAGGAUCCACCGCGGCCGCCCAGGCUGUUGGCCUUGUCCUCACGGCUCGGAGAUAAGCCGGCGCUGGUCACACCGCGAAACCCCUGUUCGCACCGAGACCCCGCUCGGGAUCAUGCGCACAGGCCAGGGCGCAGCAAGCCUUGGAGAAGCUACCUGCACAGCCCAUUCCUUGCGCGAGCUUCGCAUCUUCUGCCUCAGUUUCCUUACCUGUAAAGGGGUGAUCAUAGGACAUCCUUGGUCACACCUUUGUGGGACCCACCUGGGCUAGAGCGCGGUACCCGCCCAGGACAGUGACUGCUGCUGGAAACCGUCGUGGCACUGGGGUCACCUCCCCAAGGAGGAAGUGGGCUUCCUGCAAGCAGAGCUGUGCCCAGGACCAUGCCAGCCCAUGACAGGCAUUCAGUAAGAUGGAGUAAGCAAGUUCCACCUGCCUCUCCUGUGGAAUGCAGCUAUAAAAUCUGGACGCAACUUGUGGAGCAGAUACUUGAGGUUUCUGAGCAGUAAACAGCAGCAGGUGGAUUAGGAAAGACCAAUGGUACGGUUUGGCUGUGUCCCCACCCAAAUCUCAUCUUGAAUUGUAGCUCCCAUAAUUCCCACGUAUUGUGGGAGGGACCUGGUGGGAGAUAACUGAAUCACGGGGGCGGUUCCUCCCAUACUGUUCUCAUGGUAAGGAAUAAGUCUUGCGAAAUCUAAUGGUUUUAUGAGGGGAAAGCGCUUUUACUUGGUUCUCAUUUUCUCUCUUGCCUGUUGCCACGUAAGACAUGUCUUCGCCUUCUGCCGUGAUUGUGAGGCCUCCCCAGCCAUUAAACCUCUUUUUCUUUAUAAAUUACCCCAUCUCAGGUAUGUCUUGAUCAGCAGUGUGAAAUGGACUAACACAACCAGAAUUCAAAGUACCACUGAAUGGCUGUGAGUUACCCACUGGUUGGCCCGGAUGUCUCUUGGUCUGGACAAGCUAUGACAAGACAUAGACAAGCUGAUUCUAAGAUGUGUAUGAAAAGCAAAGACACGGCCGGGCGCGGUGGCUCAAGCCUAUAAUCCCAGCACUUUGGGAGGCCGAGACGGGCGGAUCACGAGGUCAGGAGAUCGAGACCAUCCUGGCUAACACAGUGAAACCCCGUCUCUACUAAAAAAUACGAAAAACUAGCAGGGCGUGGUGGCGGGCGCCUGUAGUCCCAGCUACUCGGGAGGCUGAGGCAGGAGAAUGGCCUAAACCCGGGAGGCAGAGCUUGCAGUGAGCCGAGAUCGUGCCACCGCACUCCAGCCUGGGCGAUAGAGCGAGACUCCGUCUCAAAAAAAAAAAAAAA